GAAACUCCUUUCGAUGGAUCAGAACUCUUCUGAUUCAGACAAUUAGAAUGAUCGAUCAUCAAAAUCAUUCUAAUUGCUCCCAAAAUCCACCAGUGACACCUAGCAGUAUAUGGUGACAAUCCAUCAGAACUAAAGAUGAACCUCUCGGUGCAGUUACCUGUGUGAUUGAGUUCCUCUAUCAUGAGUCCCGACUGAAUUAGGGUUAAGGUGAACUCGUCAAACCCAACAUCAGUCAUAUGAAU
rnacentral:lncRNA from 1 species